rnacentral:rRNA from 1 species
GCUCAGGACGAACGCUGGCGGCGUGCUUAACACAUGCAAGUCGAACGAUGAAGCCUUUCGGGGUGGAUUAGUGGCGAACGGGUGAGUAACACGUGGGCAAUCUGCCCUUCACUCUGGGACAAGCCCUGGAAACGGGGUCUAAUACCGGAUAACACUCUGUCCUGCAUGGGACGGGGUUGAAAGCUCCGGCGGUGAAGGAUGAGCCCGCGGCCUAUCAGCUUGUUGGUGGGGUAAUGGCCUACCAAGGCGACGACGGGUAGCCGGCCUGAGAGGGCGACCGGCCACACUGGGACUGAGACACGGCCCAGACUCCUACGGGAGGCAGCAGUGGGGAAUAUUGCACAAUGGGCGAAAGCCUGAUGCAGCGACGCCGCGUGAGGGAUGACGGCCUUCGGGUUGUAAACCUCUUUCAGCAGGGAAGAAGCGCAAGUGACGGUACCUGCAGAAGAAGCGCCGGCUAACUACGUGCCAGCAGCCGCGGUAAUACGUAGGGCGCAAGCGUUGUCCGGAAUUAUUGGGCGUAAAGAGCUCGUAGGCGGCUUGUCACGUCGGAUGUGAAAGCCCGGGGCUUAACCCCGGGUCUGCAUUCGAUACGGGCUAGCUAGAGUGUGGUAGGGGAGAUCGGAAUUCCUGGUGUAGCGGUGAAAUGCGCAGAUAUCAGGAGGAACACCGGUGGCGAAGGCGGAUCUCUGGGCCAUUACUGACGCUGAGGAGCGAAAGCGUGGGGAGCGAACAGGAUUAGAUACCCUGGUAGUCCACGCCGUAAACGUUGGGAACUA